rnacentral:lncRNA from 1 species
AGACAACAUUAGUGCAAGCGACCAAAGAAUUAGUAGCGUCGUCACGACUUGGUAAGUUUACUUUUAACAUUUCUAUUAUUGCUUCUAUUUAAACUAAUAUUUUUAAUUAUGUUUAUGUUAUAUAGAAGGAGGGCAAAGAUGAAUAAGUGAAGCUUUGCAUGAAGGACGUAUUGGAAAAAUGGGCAUGUUAUCUCAAAAAUUUGAUGCCUUAUUUUGGAUACUACAUAUUGUAAUGGAAGAAAGAAAAAGGUUAUCUUUCCAUUUGGAGUAUUUUUUACCAGAACAGUAAUCAUA